CAUGAGAUGUGAGCAAGGCUGGUGCUGGGGCUUCUUCUCCUGAAGGGGCUGCAAGAGGGAAGACUUAGCCAUGUCGUCCUUGAUCAAAACGGUGAUCAGCACCGCGAAAGCCCCAGGGGCCAUUGGACCCUACAGUCAAGCUGUGUUAGUGGACAAGACCAUUCACAUUUCAGGACAGAUAGGCAUGGACCCUUCAAGUGGACAGCUUGUGUCAGGAGGGGUAGCAGAAGAAGCUAAACAAGCUCUUUAAAACAUGGGUGAAAUUCUGAAAGCUGCAGGCUGUGAUUUCACUAAUGUGGUGAAAACAACCGUUCUUCUGGCUGACAUAAAUGACUUCAAUACUAUCAAUGAAAUCUACAAACAGUAUUUCAAGAGUAAUUUUCCUGCUAGAGCUGCUUACCAAGUUGCUGCUUUGCCCAAAGGUAGCCAAAUUGAAAUUGAAGCAGUAGCUGUCCAAGGACCGCCGACAACAGCAUCACUAUAAGUGGGCCAGUGCUUUGUAGUCUGGAAUUGUUAACAUUUUAAUUUUUACAAGUGAUGUAACAUCUUAAUUAACCUUUUAAUUUUCACAAUUGAUGACAAUGUGAGCUUGAUGAAAAUAUCUGAAGUUAUUAUGGAAAUACCAUAUAAUAGGGAGAGUUGAACAUGAAUUGAAGAUUAGAGAAGGAAUCCAGUUACUGUUUUAAAUUACACCUGUAUUACUGAAUAUAGGAAAGAGAUAUCCAUUACAUAGUUACU